UACGUAGGGUGCGAGCGUUGUCCGGAAUUAUUGGGCGUAAAGGGCUCGUAGGCGGUCUGUCACGUCGGGAGUGAAAACACGGGGCUUAACCCCGUGCCUGCUUCCGAUACGGGCAGACUAGAGGUAUGCAGGGGAGAACGGAAUUCCUGGUGUAGCGGUGAAAUGCGUAGAUAUCAGGAGGAACACCUGUGGCGAAAGCGGCUCACUGGACCAUAACUGACGCUGAUGCACGAAAGCUAGGGGAGCAAACAGG
rnacentral:rRNA from 1 species